GACGAACGCUGGCGGCGUGCUUAACACAUGCAAGUCGAACGGAAAGACCCUGCUUUUGUGGGGUGCUCGAGUGGCGAACGGGUGAGUAACACGUGAGUAACCUGCCCUUGACUUUGGGAUAACUUCAGGAAACUGGGGCUAAUACCGGAUAGGAGCUCCUGCUGCAUGGUGGGGGUUGGAAAGUUUCGGCGGUUGGGGAUGGACUCGCGGCUUAUCAGCUUGUUGGUGGGGUAGUGGCUUACCAAGGCUUUGACGGGUAGCCGGCCUGAGAGGGUGACCGGCCACAGUGGGACUGAGAUACGGCCCAGACUCCUACGGGAGGCAGCAGGGGGGAAUAUUGCACAAUGGGCGGAAGCCUGAUGCAGCAACGCCGCGUGCGGGAUGACGGCCUUCGGGUUGUAAACCGCUUUCGCCUGUGACGAAGCGUGAGUGACGGUAAUGGGUAAAGAAGCACCGGCUAACUACGUG
rnacentral:rRNA from 1 species